rnacentral:rRNA from 1 species
GACGAACGCUGGCGGCGUGCUUAACACAUGCAAGUCGAACGAAGAGCGACGGAAGCUUGCUUCUAUCAAUCUUAGUAGCGAACGGGUGAGUAACGCGUAAUCAACCUGCCCUUCAGAGGGGGACAACAGUUGGAAACGACUGCUAAUACCGCAUACGAUCUAAUCUCGGCAUCGAGGAUGGAUUAAAGGCUGCCUCUACAUGUAAGCUAUCACUGAAGGAGGGGAUUGCGUCUGAUUAGCGAGUUGGAGGGGUAACGGCCCACCAAGGCGAUGAUCAGUAGCCGGUCUGAGGGGAUGAACGGCCACAUUGGGACUGAGACACGGCCCAGACUCCUACGGGAGGCAGCAGUGGGGAAUCUUCCGCAAUGGACGAAAGUCUGACGGAGCAACGCCGCGUGAGUGAUGACGGCCUUCGGGUUGUAAAGCUCUGUUAAUCGGGACGAAAGGCCUUCUUGCGAAUAGUGAGAAGGAUUGACGGUACCGGAAUAGAAAGCCACGGCUAACUACGUG